rnacentral:ncRNA from 1 species
GGGCAGGACAUGUAAAGUAGGCCCACCGUAAACGGUGCUUCUACUUUACCUUCCCUUAUUCGCAGCGGGGCUGCUCAACUGGAGUCCUGCUCUGCGAGGC